rnacentral:rRNA from 1 species
GAGUUUGAUUCAUGGCUCAGGACGAACGCUGGCGGCGUGCCUAAUACAUGCAAGUAGAACGCUGAAGAGAGGAGCUUGCUCUUCUUGGAUGAGUUGCGAACGGGUGAGUAACGCGUAGGUAACCUGCCUUGUAGCGGGGGAUAACUAUUGGAAACGAUAGCUAAUACCGCAUAACAAUAGGUGACACAUGUCAUUUAUUUGAAAGGGGCAAUUGCUCCACUACAAGAUGGACCUGCGUUGUAUUAGCUAGUAGGUGAGGUAACGGCUCACCUAGGCGACGAUACAUAGCCGACCUGAGAGGGUGAUCGGCCACACUGGGACUGAGACACGGCCCAGACUCCUACGGGAGGCAGCAGUAGGGAAUCUUCGGCAAUGGGGGCAACCCUGACCGAGCAACGCCGCGUGAGUGAAGAAGGUUUUCGGAUCGUAAAGCUCUGUUGUAAGUCAAGAACGAGUGUGAGAGUGGAAAGUUCACACUGUGACGGUAGCUUACCAGAAAGGGACGGCUAACUACGUGCCAGCAGCCGCGGUAAUACGUAGGUCCCGAGCGUUGUCCGGAUUUAUUGGGCGUAAAGCGAGCGCGGGCGGUUUGAUAAGUCUGAAGUUAAAGGCUGUGGCUCAACCAUAGUUCGCUUUGGAAACUGUCAAACUUGAGUGCAGAAGGGGAGAGUGGAAUUCCAUGUGUAGCGGUGAAAUGCGUAGAUAUAUGGAGGAACACCGGUGGCGAAAGCGGCUCUCUGGUCUGUAACUGACGCUGAGGCUCGAAAGCGUGGGGAGCGAACAGGAUUAGAUACCCCGGUAGUCCACGCCGUAAACGAUGAGUGCUAGGUGUUGGAUCCUUUCCGGGAUUCAGUGCCGCAGCUAACGCAUUAAGCACUCCGCCUGGGGAGUACGACCGCAAGGUUGAAACUCAAAGGAAUUGACGGGGGCCCGCACAAGCGGUGGAGCAUGUGGUUUAAUUCGAAGCAACGCGAAGAACCUUACCAGGUCUUGACAUCCCGAUGCUAUUUCUAGAGAUAGAAAGUUACUUCGGUACAUCGGUGACAGGUGGUGCAUGGUUGUCGUCAGCUCGUGUCGUGAGAUGUUGGGUUAAGUCCCGCAACGAGCGCAACCCCUAUUGUUAGUUGCCAUCAUUCAGUUGGGCACUCUAGCGAGACUGCCGGUAAUAAACCGGAGGAAGGUGGGGAUGACGUCAAAUCAUCAUGCCCCUUAUGACCUGGGCUACACACGUGCUACAAUGGUUGGUACAACGAGUUGCGAGUCGGUGACGGCAAGCUAAUCUCUUAAAGCCAAUCUCAGUCCGGAUUGUAGGCUGCAACUCGCCUACAUGAAGUCGGAAUCGCUAGUAAUCGCGGAUCAGCACGCCGCGGUGAAUACGUUCCCGGGCCUUGCACACACCGCCCGUC